rnacentral:rRNA from 1 species
AGGGCACCACCAGGAGUGGAGCCUGCGGCUUAAUUUGACUCAACACGGGAAAACUCACCCGGCCCGGACACUGGAAGGAUUGACAGAUUGAGAGCUCUUUCUUGAUUCAGUGGGUGGUGGUGCAUGGCCGUUCUUAGUUGGUGGAGUGAUUUGUCUGGUUAAUUCCGAUAACGAACGAGACUCUAGCCUACUAAAUAGAUCGUCGGCUUACAAACGCCGGCGAGACUUCUUAGAGGGACAGGCGGUGAUCCAACCGCACGAAACAGAGCAAUAACAGGUCUGUGAUGCCCUUAGAUGUCCGGGGCCGCACGCGCGCUACACUGAAGUGAUCAGCGUGCUUUUUCAACCUACUCUGUCAAGAGUGGGGAACCCAAUGAACCUUCUUCGUGAUUGGGAUAGGGGAUUGUAAUUAUUCCCCUUGAACGAGGAAUUCCCAGUAAGCGCGAGUCAUAAGCUCGCGUUGAUUACGUCCCUGCCCUUUGUACACACCGCCCGUCGCUACUACCGAUUGAAUGUUUU